rnacentral:rRNA from 1 species
GACGAACGCUGGCGGCGUGCCUAAUACAUGCAAGUAGAACGGUGAAGUGAGGAGCUUGCUCUUCUUGGGUGAGUCGCGAACGGGUGAGUAACGCGUAGGUAACCUGCCUGGUAGCGGGGGAUAACUAUUGGAAACGAAUGCUAAUACCGCAUAAAAUGGACAAUCGCAUGAUUUUAAAAUGAAAGGUGCAAAUGCAUCACUACCAGAUGGAUCUGCGUUUGAUUAGCUAGCUGGUGAGGUAACGGCACACCAAGGCGAAGAUAGAGAGCGGGACUGAGAGGGUGAUCGUCCACCCUGGGACUGGUACACGGCCCAGACUCCUACGGGAAGCAGCAGUAGGGGUGCGUCGGAAAUGGACGGAAGUCUGAGCGAGCAACGCCGAGUGAGUGAAGAAGAAUUUCGGAUCGUGAAGCUCAGUUGUCAGUGAAGAACGGGUGUGAGAGUGGAAAGGUCAGUAUGUGACGGUACCUGACCAGAAAGCAACGGCUAACUACGUG